AAAAGAGAAGGGGGAUUGAUGUUGGGGAGAUGGGUCUAGGGUGUGCGUAAGCACACUCUAGUUCUGUCUGUCUUUCACAACAACUUGUUCGAUGCAGCAAUGCGUCGCUACACUUGCGUUUUAUAUGUUUGUCAGAGUAAAAUAAGAUUAAACAGA
rnacentral:misc_RNA from 1 species